CAAUAGCGUAUAUUUAAGUUGUUGCAGUUAAAAAGCUCGUAGUUGGAUUUCGGAUGGGACUUGCCGGUCCGUCGUUUCGAUGUGCACUGGCCAGUCCUAUCUUGUUGUCGGGGACUAGCUCCUGGGCUUCACUGUCCGGGACUAGGAGCUGACGAGGUUACUUUGAGUAAAUUAGAGUGUUCAAAGCAAGCCUACGCUCUGAAUACAUUAGCAUGGAAUAACACAAUAGGACUCUGGCUUAUCUUGUUGGUCUGUGAGACCAGAGUAAUGAUUAAGAGGGACAGUCGGGGGCAUUCGUAUUUCAUUGUCAGAGGUGAAAUUCUUGGAUUUAUGAAAGACGAACUUCUGCGAAAGCAUUUGUCAAGGAUGUUUUCAUUGA
rnacentral:rRNA from 1 species